UACGUAGGGUGCAAGCGUUAAUCGGAAUUACUGGGCGUAAAGCGUGCGCAGGCGGUUAUGCAAGACAGAUGUGAAAUCCCCGGGCUCAACCUGGGAACUGCAUUUGUGACUGCAUGGCUAGAGUACGGUAGAGGGGGAUGGAAUUCCGCGUGUAGCAGUGAAAUGUGUAGAUAUGCGGAGGAACACCGAUGGCGAAGGCAGCCCCCUGGGCCAACACUGACGCUCAGGCACGAAAGCGUGGGGAGCAAACAGG
rnacentral:rRNA from 1 species